GACGAACGCUGGCGGCGUGCCUAAUACAUGCAAGUCGAACGCACAGUUUAUACCGUAGCUUGCUACACCAUAGACUGUGAGUUGCGAACGGGUGAGUAACGCGUAGGUAACCUGCCUGGUAGCGGGGGAUAACUAUUGGAAACGAUAGCUAAUACCGCAUAAUAUUAAUUAUUGCAUGAUAAUUAAUUGAAAGGUGCAAUUGCACCACUACCAGAUGGACCUGCGUUGUAUUAGCUAGUAGGUGAGGUAACGGCUCACCUAGGCGACGAUACAUAGCCGACCUGGGAGGGUGAUCGGCCACCCUGGGACUGGGCCACGGCCCAGACUCCUACGGGAGGCAGCAGUAGGGAAUCUUCGGCAAUGGACGAAAGUCUGACCGAGCAACGCCGCGUGAGUGAAGAAGGUUUUCGGAUCGUAAAGCUCUGUUGUAAGAGAAGAACGGGUGUGAGAGUGGAAAGUUCACACUGUGACGGUAUCUUACCAGAAAGGGACGGCUAACUACGUG
rnacentral:rRNA from 1 species